rnacentral:lncRNA from 1 species
UGCCCUUCAGAGCAACUUUUCUAAAUUUUUCAGUGAGAUGCUACUCAAUUCGUGAAUUGCUAUUAAAAGCCAAUUAGAUCUUUAAACUAAAUUUGUUGAAAAUUUGUCUUUUGACAAUCCUCAAAGCACUACUUUGAAACAGAAUGGAAAUGAACACAACUGGUAGUUAACUAGCUAAAUACGUAUGACUCACAAAACACUAUCAAGCUAACUCUAAAAAUUUAAGGCCCCCUUGGGGGAUGGGGAAGGAAGAAACCUCUAAGAUCACUGUUCUCACUUUUAACAUCUAGUUCAAACCUAAGUUUAGUCACAUUUUAUUAUAUGGGAUCCCAAAUUAAAUAAAAGAAUAAUGAAGCCAAGUACCUACUCAAAGCGCUGAUCUCUAUGGGAUCUAAAACAUCACCUAAAAUGUAACCGAAUAGAAAGAUACAGAACUCAGAGAGACUACAGAACUGAUAAGAAGCUGGAAAGAAUACUUAGCUAAGUAGCUUGAAGUUGAAGACUAAAACCCUUCAGGCUCCUAUAACCAGAGGUGAUUGAUUAGAAUAAUACUAAAUUAUAUUCUAAGGAUCGCAGAGAUUUUAACUGUGAAAUUUUGGUUUGGACAACAGAGUUGCAAAUGUAAAGGCAAAGCUACAUUACUCAUGAUAGCAGAUGACAAGCCAAGUUGCUAUCAACAGUUCUCAGAUAAUAUUAAUUGUUCAAAUGUCUAGCAUUUGAAGGAGUCACAAAUCAUUAGUCUAUUUGGGGACGGCCACAGGUCUUGUUGGCCAUGAUUUACCUGUGCCACCAGUUAAAGGGUUCUGAUUAACAACUCAGUAGUAGUAACCAAAUUUAAGUUGCAACACACACACUCACACAUUUUUAAAAAAAUGCCUUCUAAUAGAUUUAGCAAUUCAGAAUCAACACAUCCCACUACUGAGAGCAGUAAACAUACUGAGAAUAUUUAAAAGUGGGAAUGCAUUAAAAUCCUCUUAAAAAGACUGGUGAUUUGAAUCUGAUAUUGAUGUAUAUGUAUGUUGCAUGCAUAAAUAAAUUCAUUUUUCUCUUGUUAACCUGCCGAUUGUCAGUUUAAUUCACAGGUUUCCAGGUACAAACUUAAGAGAGUAUAGAAAAAGUUUUUUGCUUUUCUUCCCUACAUUAAACCUUCAAACAUUCCUUCAAAGUUCUCAAAUUCUAAACCAAAACAACUAAAAGGUGAAAAUAGCCCAUCAACUUAUUUGUCUUCAUGAUGCCAAAUAACUUAAAAGAGUAAGUUGCUUGGAAAUUAAAUUGCUUAAAUUGACCUCUAAUUUGAUAUCUCAUAUGGAAUGGCACAGUACAUUAGAAAGUUUACUAAAGCAGUAAAAGACUGAAAAUCUAAUCUAAUCAAAAAUUAUUGCUGGGUCUCAAAAAUGCUCCUCUUCCCUCCUCAGAUUCAGAAAUGGAGAAAUAAAACAAUGGAGUAGCUGACUGAGGCCAAAAUAAUACUUAUAAAGACAAUAUUAAAGUACACGGCUCUUUAUUUACAUGCAAGCAAUGUGCUUUCUUAAUACCGAACCCUAGAAUUAUGCAGGAUUAUUAAUAAGGAUUAUUAUUCCAACUGGGGUACUCAAGGGAGUGAAAUAUGGUGCUAUGAAUAAUCAUAUUGGGGACGACAUCAAGUGGAAGUGUCCUGGGCAAAACAAGAUAUACGGUCAUCCAGCCAGAACCCAGUUUUCCCUCUGCAGAGUUGAAACCUAGACUCUAGUUCCUCUAGACUACAGAGCCCAAUCGGUGCUCCUUGCAGUUAAGCCUGUUCCAAAACCCCUUGCCUAAUACAUUCUUCCCAAAUUUAUCAAUCACGUUAAGCUAUUUCACCUUCACCAAAGCAGAGAUGAAGGGGAAGUGAAGUAGGAGAGAGAGAGAGAAGGUCACUAAUUGCACUAAUUAAGGUCCCUUUACCUUGAAGGAAAUAUUAAAAAUGGGGAAGAAUUUCUUUCUCUAACGACUU